rnacentral:misc_RNA from 1 species
GCAAACUUGGUCAUUUAGAGGAAGUAAAAGUUGUAACAAGGUUUCCGUAGGUGAACCUGCGGAAGGAUCAUUAACAAAUCCAAAGAUAUAUUGUGGUAAUUUAUUUACCGCAAAUAUUUACUCGCCGGUCCAAUUGGACUGGUGGUGAUAUUAUUAUAUAAAUGCAUGUUGUGUUGACAGUGUGUGAGUGACUUAAAUUGACAACUUUUAACAAUGGAUCUCUAGGCUCUUGCAUCGAUGAAGAACGCAGC